CCUACGGGUGGCAGCAGUAGGGAAUCUUUCACAAUGGGCGAAAGCCUGAUGGAGCAACGCCGCGUGCAGGAUGAAGGCCUUCGGGUUGUAAACUGCUUUUGUAAGCGAGAAAUAUGAUGGUAACUUAUGAAUAAGGAUCGGCUAACUACGUGCCAGCAGCCGCGGUCAUACGUAGGGUCCGAGCGUUAUCCGGAGUCACUGGGUGUAAAGAGUUGCGUAGGGGGGUGAAUAAAUAGCUAUUGAAAUCUGGUGGCUCAACCAUUAGGACUAUUAGCGAAACUGUUAAGCUCGAGUGCGUUAGAGGUAACUGGAAUUUCUGGUGUAGGAGUGAAAUCCGUAGAGAUUAGAAGGAACACUAAUAGCGUAGGCGGGUUGCUGGGACGGUUCUGACACUAAGGCACGAAAGCGUAGGGAGCAAACGGGAUUAGAUACCCUAGUAGUC
rnacentral:rRNA from 1 species